CAACAGAAAGCUUGGAAAAUAAAUGUUGUCCUUCCAAAAUCAGCUAUGAACUGAAGUGUUAUACCCCAUUUAAAGACAAUUUGCAGCUGACAUUUCGGUUGUUUGUGCUUGGAGCAGGAGGAUUUUUUAUUUUGGGGUGUCUACCAUUUUGUUGCUGUGCCUGUUUGCAGAGGAGUCAAUGCGUCAAUCCUUUACGAAGUGCAAGUAAAGAAGUAGAACAAAUCGUGCAGAAGAAAAGAGCACGUAGUGAAAAUAUUCAUGGGUUUUUAUCGAAUUUACUUAAGAAAAACUCCAAGGACCAUAAGAGCAAGAAAAAAGAGAAACAUGUAGCUGAUCUUGAAGACCUCAAGCAGGACAAGGACACCAGGAUUACCUGAAUAUGCGCUAGAAAAUGAGAUGUUUUUCCUAGUGUCAAACAAAUAUAACAUUGUGACCCUUUGAUAGUGCUGUUGAUUUUUACACUAAGAAGUUUGUCAUUCUUAGUUCUUCAUGCUCAUACCAUAUCUUCUGUAAAUAACUAGUAGUGCUAAAAGGCAGAAAUUGACUGUGGCAGUUUCUGAAUGCUGAAGCCAGUCUUCUGUUAUUAAUAUAGCAUCCCUGUGAAGGGCACAUAAGGAUACCAGUUAAGUGACUGUCCUAGUUAGUAGAUUGGUCUUAGAAUUUUGUUUGGAUUAAGAGAAGGUAGUUGUCACUCAUUAAAUCAGUAGCGAGUGGCAAGCUUACUUUGCUUCAGUAUUGGAUGGCUGAUGGUCAUUACAGAGAAAGAGUUGUGCUCUGGAGAAAGUUAGGCUUUCAUAUGGUGCUUCAAGAUUUUGAAAGGUAAUAAAUUCCUUUUAUUUACAUGUCAUUGAUAGCACAACUGCUUUCAAUAUUGCAUAACAUUCUGACAAAGGGAGACAUGCUGAUGAAACAACUGUAUAUAACAGUAAGCGAUCAAUGCAUCUGCAGUAACAGUGGCAGCACCAGACAAAAAUAAGCAUAAGCAAGAUAUAUGCACUGUAAGAGGGGAAGGGAGGACAAUAAGACACAGCAAGUCUUAUGUUACCCCUACUGGGGUAAUAGUCAGGAGCACAAUGCAUUGAGUAAGCCCUGCACCUGUUCCAUUUAGCAGCCUCAUUGUAAGGGUGUUCUGAAAAGUUAAAAUUUUUGCAUUUUGAUUGCAGAAGUCAAAAAACUCUCAUUUUAAACCUUAAGUUCUAUACUAAUUUGACAGUUCAUUGAAUCGAUAGCUGUCCAGUAUUGGUAUUGCAUAAUAACUGUUGGCUGUGCCAAAAAUGUCAUACUGUCUUUUUCAUUAUUAUUGAGAGUCAGGGUUGUCACCUUAAGGUCAUAUUGCUGAUAUUCACAGGCCUGAGAAUAACGGUAUCUCUAUUGACUUCAUCACAUAAAAGCAGAUGUUUUGAUCAGCUGCUUGCUUCCACUAGUCAAUGUUCAGCGAAUUAAAAGUUCAACUACUCUUAUUCUUGUAUAAUCUAUUUGAUUAUGAUUUUUAUCUCUUUGGUUUUGAUCUCCUCGACCCCAGUGAACUACAGAAAAAUUUCAGUGUGGGGUUACUCCAGACCUACCUGGAAGAUAUGUUUUCCAAAGUGCCUAAACUGCUGGUAUUUAUCUUGUGUACCAAGCUGCAUGUUUCUGAGCCAAACUCAGUUUCCCUUUGAAGAACUGAAUUAGGGACCAGGUCAGCUGGGAAAAGGCUAAGCAUCCCUACAAGGCCCCCAGGGCCCUCAGAGCCUUUGUGGUUAGUGACAGAAGCUGCCUUCCACUGCAUGCUGUUUCCCAGCCUAAUUUGUGGGCCAAGCCAGCAGAACAGACCUUCUACCUUCUGGUCCCAGAGAGAGACCUUCAGUACUAACAUCAGGAACCACAAGAUGGUGCUGCA